UUUGUUAGUAGUGAGUUAAAAGGACGUUUCUCCGGGUUCUUAGGGUGAAGCGCAAUAUUAGUGCUGGCAUCUGUGCCAGUAUGAGGAGGGAGGGGUAAUGAUGGGUGUGUGUUUCACCAAUCCCUUGGGGGCAUUACAGUUAUAAAUAGAAAGAUUGUUCUGAUGAGAGAAAGCCAGUCUUGAAAUAUUGAAGUCUCAACCCAGAGGAUUGGACAUUGUCUCCUUUUACUCCACAAGUAGCUUCAUUCAGGCUGAAAAUGUUCUUCAAAUGCGCUGUACUCCUGUGUAUUUUAAUUAUACCCUCUGUGUUUAUGGAGGCAGACACUGACAAUAGUGACCUAAUAAAAGUGAAUGCAGAAGUCGUCGAUCAGGAACCAGAGAUAGUU